ACGGGUGAGUAACACGUGGACAAUCUGCCCCCGCCGGGAUAGCCCAGGGAAACCUGGAUUAAUACCGGAUGAGACGGGACCCGCGAAGGCGGGACCCGGGAAAGGCGCUGCGGCGCCGCCGGGGGAUGAGUCUGCGUCCCAUUAGCUAGACGGCGGGGUAACGGCCCACCGUGGCGACGAUGGGUAGCCGGCCUGAGAGGGUGGACGGCCACAUUGGAACUGAGACACGGUCCAGACUCCUACGGGAGGCAGCAGCUAAGAAUCUUCCGCAAUGGGCGAAAGCCUGACGGAGCGAACCGCCGCGUGAACGAAGAAGGCCGUGAGGUUGUAAAGUUCUUUUCGGGAGGGGGAACAACCGUGGCAGGGAAUGGCCGCGGGAUGACGUGAAUCCCGGAAUAAGCCCCGGCUAACUACGUGCCAGCCGCAGC
rnacentral:rRNA from 1 species